rnacentral:misc_RNA from 1 species
GAUGAAGAACGCAGCGAAAUGCGAUACGUAAUGUGAAUUGCAGAAUUCAGUGAAUCAUCGAGUCUUUGAACGCACAUUGCGCCCUCUGGUAUUCCGGAGGGCAUGCCUGUCCGAGCGUCAUUGCUGCCCUCAAGCACGGCUUGUGUGUUGGGCCCCGCCCCCCGAUCCCGGGGGGCGGGCCCGAAAGGCAGCGGCGGCACCGCGUCCGGUCCUCGAGCGUAUGGGGCUUUGUCACCCGCUCUGUAGGCCCGGCCGGCGCUUGCCGAUCAACCAAACUUUUUUCCAGGUUGACCUCGGAUCAGGUAGGGAUACCCGCUGAACUUGAGCAUAUCAAUAAGCGGAGGA